GAUUAUGGCUCAGGACGAACGCUGGCGGCGUGCCUAACACAUGCAAGUCGAACGGAGUUAAUGAUUUCGGUUGUUAACUUAGUGGCGAACGGGUGAGUAACGCGUGAACAACCUGACCCAAAGAGGGGGAUAACAUUUGGAAACAGAUGCUAAUACCGCAUAAGACCACAACGUCACAUGGCGAAGGGGUCAAAGGAGCAAUCCGCUUUGGGAGGGGUUCGCGUCCCAUUAGGUAGAUGGCGGGUAACGGCCCACCAUGCCAACGAUGGGUAGCCGAGCUGAGAGGCUGAUCGGCCACACUGGAACUGAGACACGGUCCAGACUCCUACGGGAGGCAGCAGUGGGGAAUAUUGGGCAAUGGGCGCAAAGCCUGACCCAGCAACGCCGCGUGAGGGAAGAAGGUUUUCGGAUUGUAAACCUCUGCCGCAGAAGACGAAGGAAGUGACGGUAUUCUGUGAGGAAGCCCCGGCUAACUACGUGCCAGCCGCGGC
rnacentral:rRNA from 1 species